UGGGGAAUUUUGGACAAUGGGGGAAACCCUGAUCCAGCCAUCCCGCGUGUGCGAUGAAGGCCUUCGGGUUGUAAAGCACUUUUGGCAGGAAAGAAACGUCGCGGGUUAAUACCCCGCGGAACUGACGGUACCUGCAGAAUAAGCACCGGCUAACUACGUGCCAGCAGCCGCGGUAAUACGUAGGGUGCAAGCGUUAAUCGGAAUUACUGGGCGUAAAGCGUGCGCAGGCGGUCCGGAAAGAAAGAUGUGAAAUCCCAGAGCUUAACUUUGGAACUGCAUUUUUAACUACCGGGCUAGAGUGUGUCAGAGGGAGGUGGAAUUCCGCGUGUAGCAGUGAAAUGCGUAGAUAUGCGGAGGAACACCGAUGGCGAAGGCAGCCUCCUGGGAUAACACUGACGCUCAUGCACGAAAGCGUGGGGAGCAAACAGGAUUAGAUACCCUGGUAGUCCACGCCCUAAACGAUGUCAACUAGCUGUUGGGGUCUUCGGACCUUGGUAGCGCAGCUAACGCGUGAAGUUGACCGCCUGGGGAGUACGGUCGCAAGAUUAAAACUUAAAUGAAUU
rnacentral:rRNA from 1 species